UACGUAGGGUGCGAGCGUUGUUCGGAAUUACUGGGCGUAAAGGGCGCGUAGGCGGCACUGUUAGUCAGGCGUGAAAGUCCUGGGCUCAACCUGGGAACUGCGCUUGAUACGGCAGAGCUAGAGGAUGGAAGAGGCUCGCGGAAUUCCCAGUGUAGAGGUGAAAUUCGUAGAUAUUGGGAAGAACACCGGUGGCGAAGGCGGCGAGCUGGUCCAUUACUGACGCUGAGGCGCGACAGCGUGGGGAGCAAACAGG
rnacentral:rRNA from 1 species